rnacentral:lncRNA from 1 species
UCCCGACAAAGAAACCAAAAGUUCAACCAAACACUUGCACAGACAGUUGAGUGAAUCAAUGAUCCAUGGCAAAAGCAAAAAAACAUGAAAGAGUGAAGGGGUAUACUACAAGUAAGCAUAUCUAGCAUUUGCGUAUUGUUCUCAACAAUAAGAGCUACGUACCACAAUGCGCGAGAAGUGUGUGCCCUUUCAUGUCCCCACGGGAUAAUUGACUAAUUUCCUGAGUUUACUUUUUUUAUACAAUUUUUUUUCUGCGUUUGUGUGUGUCAUGGGAAAAGAAUGAUA